ACAGGGAUUGCCCUAGUAACGGCGAGUGAAGCGGCAACAGCUCAAAUUUGAAAUCUGGCUCUUUUAGAGUCCGAGUUGUAAUUUGCAGAGGGCGCUUUGGCGUUGGCAGCGGUCCAAGUUCCUUGGAACAGGACGUCACAGAGGGUGAGAAUCCCGUACGUGGUCGCUGGCCUUCGCCGUGUAAAGCCUCUUCGACGAGUCGAGUUGUUUGGGAAUGCAGCUCUAAAUGGGAGGUAAAUUUCUUCUAAAGCUAAAUACUGGCCAGAGACCGAUAGCGCACAAGUAGAGUGAUCGAAAGAUGAAAAGUACUUUGGAAAGAGAGUCAAAUAGCACGUGAAAUUGUUAAAAGGGAAGCGCUUGCAGCCAGACUUGCCUGUAGUUGCUCAUCUAGGCUUUUGCCUGGUGCACUCUUCUAUAGGCAGGCCAGCAUCAGUUUGGGCGGUUGGAUAAAGUUCUCGAUCAUGUACCUCCUCUCGGGGAGGCCUUAUAGGGGAGAUGACAUACAACCAGCCUGGACUGAGGUCCGCGCAUUCGCUAGGAUGCUGGCGUAAUGGCUGUAAGCGGCCCGUCUUGAAACACGGACCAAGGAGUCUAACAUCUAUGCGAGUGUUUGGGUGUCAAGCCCGAACGCGCAAUGAAAGUGAACGGAGGUGGGAACCCUUAAGGGUGCACCAUCGACCGAUCCUGAUGUCUUCGGAAGGAUUUGAGUAAGAGCAUAGCUGUUGGGACCCGAAAGAUGGUGAACUAUGCUUGAAUAGGGUGAAGCCAGAGGAAACUCUGGUGGAGGCUCGCAGCGGUUCUGACGUGCAAAUCGAUCGUCAAAUUUGGGCAUAGGGGCGAAAGACUAAUCGAACUAUCUAGUAGCUGGUUCCUGCCGAAGUUUCCCUCAGGAUAGCAGUAACGUAUUCAGUUUUAUGAGGUAAAGCGAAUGAUUAGAGGCCUAGGGGUUGAAACAACCUUCACCUAUUCUCAAACUUUAAAUAUGUAAGAAGUCCUUGUUACUUAAUUGAACGUGGACACUUGAAUGUACCGUUACUAGUGGGCCAUUUUUGGUAAGCAGAACUGGCGAUGCGGGAUGAACCGAACGCGGGGUUAAGGUGCCAGAAUACACGCUCAUCAGACACCACAAAAGGUGUUAGUUCAUCUAGACAGCAGGACGGUGGCCAUAGAAGUCGGAAUCCGCUAAGGAGUGUGUAACAACUCACCUGCCGAAUGAACUAGCCCUGAAAAUGGAUGGCGCUCAAGCGUGUUACCCAUACCCCGCCGCCGGGGCAAGAUUUAAGCCCCGGCGAGUAGGCAGGCGUGGAGGCUCGUGACGAAGCCUUGG
rnacentral:rRNA from 1 species